UAAUAUUAUAAAACUUUAAAAUUUCUACAAAUAAGAUAAGAUUGAAGUGUCUGAAAUAUUCAUGUUUUUGAAGCUGUAACGUUGAAAAUGUUAAAGUCAUAGAUUGAGUUUGCAUUGAAUUGAAACUAAUCUUUUAAUUUAAAUUAAAUGAAGGCCGCAAUAACACAAAAAAUCAAAGAAAAUUUUACCCUAUAUCAUCUCCUUAUCCAUAUACCCCCAAAAUUUAAAGAAAAAUACUAAAAUACCCUUAUGUAUAUUAAAAGUCAUAAUUUUUUUCAUUUCCUCAUUUCAACCUUUCCGGAACAUACAAGUGAGUGUCAAAAAAUUCAUUUUUACCGGAAAACUUUUCCGGUACAUGAGGAGCAUCAGAUGCAUGAGGAGCAUGAAGAGGUACCUAAAUAGGAGGAGCAUGAGGAGGUACCUGUACAGGAGGAGGCACCUGAACUAACACGGUAUCCCGGAGAGCCGUAUGAUCUGUCGGUCCUUACUCGAUAGCGACAUCAUGUGUCUGCAAGACUAUGGUUUGGUCAAGAGCAACCAAUGCUAAAAAGUGUUGUCCAUGAAAAAAAUUGCAACAAUUUACUCAACCCGUUCUCGCGCGAAGUAUAAAGACGUGGGUGAAUUUAUCGGGAUUAGGACCACUACAGUGGGGGAGUUCGAAACUGAAUGAGAAGAGCUUGAUUUCUUCUUUUGUGGAAAGAUGGCACUCAUAGACUUCGUCAUUUCAUAUGCCAUUUGGUGAAAUGCGAUUACUUUGGACAAUGUUGUCAAUUUAUUAGGUGUUCCUAUUAGGGGUGAGUUUUACACUCCACCAAGGGUGCACACUAUAAAUUAGAUUUGCUGAAAGAUGUAUUCAGAAGACAAUGUGCAGCCCAACGAUUUGAUUGUGCUGCUCGGGCGUAUUUGCUGAAUCUAGUAGGGAGUACUAUUUUUGCAGAUAAAAAUCACACAUUAGUUGUUGCAAAAUACCUUCCCUUAUUCAUAGAUUUGAAUGGUACUAGUAGAUACGCUUGGGAUAGUGUUGCACUGGUAGUCCUUUAUGACUACCUCUCCGAUGCUAGCUGUUACGACACCAAACAAUUAGGUGGAUACAUAUCUCUACUUCAGAUAUUUGUAAAGGAGGUGACCAGGAUGCUGAUGUUCAGUGCAUUGUCCGAAUGACUAGAUGGAGCUACAAACAAGGCAAACACAAAACUCCUGAGUAUAGACAUAUGGUUGAUGCACUUACAUCUGCUGAAGUCAUAUGGAGACCAUGAGAAAAUCAUAGGGAUGUCAUUUCCUUUGGUGAUAUCAUGUUAUACACUGGUCACCUUCGACUAUGCAACACAAUAGUAACAUAUCUACCAGAGAGGUGUUUGAGACAAUUUGGAUAUAUCCAAUAUAUUCCACCACCGCCACCUCCAACUCUUUCUAGAUUAUCUUAUGUAAAUGUGGAAUGACUGGGAUAUGUGACCCUUGUUACCGAGAUAUUUUACAGGAUCCAUCCAGCUACGUAUCCAUCUGAGUGUACCCCAUAAUAUUUGGAGUGGUUCUACCGAAUAUCUCAUCAACUACUAGUGCGACUAGAUGGUGUACCCAAAUCCCAGAUUUUGGUGUCCUGACCAUCGUUGCAGGUGGUUCUACUUCACAGUUGCCAUCUAUCCUACAACACAUCGGUGAUCUUAUACAACAAAGGUUAAAUGAGCAUGAACCUAAUUCAGAUGAUGAGUUGUAUAUUCACUUUUAUAAAAUUUUGUAUUUAUCGCGUCGUCACACUAGUUAGUAGUAACUUUUAUAAACAAUGUGCUUGUGAGCAUCUAUUAUAAACACUUUAUGUUAGUUUGUUUUCA